UACCUAAAUGUUGGAAAGUCUUUUAAAUCCAAAGUGGACAAAAAACUGAGGGUGUGGUAGAUCUUUAAACUGUAGAACUAAUGUGUCUGAGCAAUCUGCCCUUCUUGAGAAAAGAAUUGGUAUUUUCAGCAGGAGUUCUGUUUCUUCAUCUAAACACUUGUUCUCCAUUUUAUAGUAAAAUUAUUGCUUAUUGCUUCAUACAGAGCACUGAUCCCUGAUCAUAGUUGUACUGGGCAAUCAGCAUCAUAAGAAUGAUGCCUACAUCUUUUUCCCUUUAAGAGAAAAUCACACAAAUAGCUUCAUUAGUAACCAGUUAGGUAUGAUUGCAGUAGAGCCAAGGGAAUGGCAAUGGUAACUCUGCUCAGAUUAAAUACCUUUGACCUUUUAGUUUCCUGGAUCAGAAGAGCUACGCAAAAUGUUUCUCACAAUGAAGUUAUCAUAUUGACUCCUCAGGUGCGUGUCACACACAAAUGAAGAGUGCUGAUUGUAGGCUGGCUUCCUGGGUGCCCUAUGUCCUUGUUGUCUCCUUGGGGUUGACCUUGAUUUCCCUAGUUGGCUGCAUCUUGCCACGUGUCAAUAUCAAGAAAUACUUCCAAAAAGAACCAAACGCAGUUUAUGAAGAUAUGGCCUCCAGGCUUACAUACCGGGUGACAGCCACAGACAACCCUUAUGAUAAUUCUUAAAGUGAACUGAUGGGGAAACUAACAGGAAGAGCACUUUUGGAUAAUUGUAGCAGCACAGCAUCUAUAUGCUUGAUAAGAAACAAUCCUAGAAAGUUUUCUUUUGCAGCAGGAACUGAGGAAGAAACUACUGGAGUCAAAAAUAUAGUUCUCCAUGUUCCAGGUAGUCAAUGUUGUUUGCUACUGGUUACUUAGUACACAUCUGGCUGACUUGCACAUGGUGAAGGCUACCAGCAGUGUUACAUUAUCACUGCUGCGCUUUUCUCUGUUGUUAUACCUGUCAGAUCAAAAUAAUACAAAAGCUUUGAAAAUUGGCUCUUAUUGCAACAAAUGGACCUUUUUACAUUGUUGGGUUUGUUUCACGUUGUAUAUUUUCAAUAAAAUAUUUG